rnacentral:rRNA from 1 species
AGCGAACGCUGGCGGCAGGCCUAACACAUGCAAGUCGAACGAAGUCUUCGGACUUAGUGGCGGACGGGUGAGUAACACGUGGGAACGUGCCUUUAGGUUCGGAAUAACUCAGGGAAACUUGUGCUAAUACCGAAUGUGCCCUUCGGGGGAAAGAUUUAUCGCCUUUAGAGCGGCCCGAGUCUGAUUAGCUAGUUGGUGAGGUUAAGGCUCACCAAGGCUACGAUCAGUAGCUGGUCUGAGAGGAUGACCAGCCACAUUGGGACUAGGACACGGACCAAACGCCGACGGGAGGCAGCAGUGGGGAAUCUACCACAAUGGGGGCAACCCUGAUGGAGCAACGCCGCGUGCAGGAUGAAGGCCUUCGGGUUGUAAACUGCUUUUAUAAGUGAGGAAUAUGACGGUAACUUAUGAAUAAGGAUCGGCUAACUACGUGCCAGCAGCCGCGGUAACAC